rnacentral:rRNA from 1 species
GAUGAACGCUGACAGAAUGCUUAACACAUGCCAGUCAACUUGAAUUUGGGUUUUUUAACUUAGAUUUGGGUGGCGGACGGGUGAGUAACGCGUAAAGAACUUGCCUCACAGCUAGGGACAACAUUUGGAAACGAAUGCUAAUACCUGAUAUUAUGAUUAUAAGGCAUCUUAGAAUUAUGAAAGCUAUAUGCGCUGUGAGAGAGCUUUGCGUCCCAUUAGCUAGUUGGAGAGGUAACGGCUCACCAAGGCGAUGAUGGGUAGCCGGCCUGAGAGGGUGAACGGCCACAAGGGGACUGAGACACGGCCCUUACUCCUACGGGAGGCAGCAGUGGGGAAUAUUGGACAAUGGACCAAGAGUCUGAUCCAGCAAUUCUGUGUGCACGAUGACGUUUUUCGGAAUGUAAAGUGCUUUCAGUUGGGAAGAAAAAAAUGACGGUACCAACAGAAGAAGUGACGGCUAAAUACGUG